UACUUUUUAGUGUAAGAUGCACAGAAAUUUUUGAUAUUUCUAGAGCAGUUUAAUUCUGCGAUCAGUAA
rnacentral:tRNA from 1 species